rnacentral:lncRNA from 10 species
GGGGGGAAACCACACACUCCACACUCUUGAACCUCAGGGUUAGAGAGACCCAGGUGUCACCUGUUUCCUAGACAUUUUGGGGCUGCCACUCUCUGCGUGAGACAACAGCCACCCUUUCCCUCGAUCACAUCCCCUACACUUCACUUCCUCUCUCCGUGUCCCCCUUCCUCAAUUCAGAAUGUCACCUGGUGAUAAGAUGACAUGCAUUUGAGCCUCAAUCCCCUUCCAGCAUCCCCUCUCCUCUGCCCCGCAAGCCACAAGCUGGCAGCUUUCCGAUUCCAGAGCAAGAACCUUCAAGCCCCGGAUACGUGCCUUGGUCCGUGAAUCCAUGGUGAAUUUUUGGUUUUUUUGUUUUGUUUUGUAUCAGCUUGCCACACGAAUCCUGCGAGGAACAGCAGUUAUGUCUUAAUCUCCUCUCCUCCUGUCCCCACCGGAGGCUGAGCCACUCUGCCUGGUGAGCGGUUGGAGGGUGGGGCGGCGGCGGGUGGUGGGGGGGAGGGUCUCUCUUCAAAUUCCCCUCCCUGGGCAUCUUUUGCCGCAGGGAAGGACGGAGGAAGGGCAACCUGCACAGGCUUUGCCCGAGAAGGGUUCUCAUCCUCCUUGCAAAUUCUAAGAGGACACCCACCCAUUGGAAGGUGAGCCAGGAGCCUACCCUGGAUGCAGAGGAGAGCUGGGGAGUGCCCCUUUCUGGGACCCCUGUCUCCUUCCAGAAAGUACGAGACCCUCCCAGAAGGGGGCUACAGCGGUCAGCACUGCGCCCGCCAAACCUAAAGCUCAUCUCAAGAUCUUCCCGUGGCUCCGACCGACUCUGCAAAUGGAGCUUAAUGGGGUUUUCCCUCCCGCUCGCCCCCAUCCCGAACUCUCUCCACGCCCCGCUUCUUCCCCCACGCACACGGCGGCUGCACCGUCACAGAAAGCAGCCGCUGGAAUAAUCAGCGAAGCCACAGGUCUCCCCAUCUUGGCAAGUGGAGGUGUGCGCUGCCCUCAGACAUCUGUGAACCGCUGUUCAACGCCAACCCCGAAGGCAGAAGGGGAAACCAAGUCACCUCCCAGAAAGACGUUUGAUGAGCAGAGAUAGAUUUGCCUCCAGACUGGUACCAGGUCUGGGGAAACCCAGGCAGAGCCCCAGGCUCUAUGCGACCCAAAGAAGAAAAAAAUGGGUGCACAGUGAUGGCUCCAGGUCUCCCCACCCAGAUGCUACCACGAAAUCCCUGGCAUCCACGAAGCUUCCCCCUGUUCCAUGGUGGAAAUUGGGGGAAAAUGGACUUGUGUCUCCAAGCAGGGUCCAUGGACACUGGACGAUGCCUGAAAUCCCCUGGGAGGCAGGGAAAAAAGGCGCACUGAACGCUCAACCGGGGUAUAAGGAGUGAUUUUUUUUUCUCUGCUGGCAGCAGGCAGGAACCUGGGGUUUGAAUGUCCCCUUCUCUGUCGCCACCUCACGCAGACUUCAGAGGCUCUCAAGGUUUCCUGGAGAGGGGGAAAUCGUCCCCGGAGCUGACCUGCCAACCAGUAGCACCCUCCAGCGCCUCAGCCGGGCCACGCCAAAAUGACCUGUCACCCAUCUCCCGCGGGGAGUGGGGAGCGGGCCAGUCCACCGCCUCUUGGGACGGCAUCUCUGGACGGCCACUGACAGUACCAGUCUCUGUCACCCCCUGGGGGGUUAGGGGCAAUGUCAUCGGCCAGGGUGGCAGAAAUAGAAAAGUGCGUGAGCUCACCAGGCAGCCUGGGUCUCCUGCGACGUUUUGUUUGCCUGAGCCCAAUUAGAACAACUCUCAGGAUGAUGGAGUAUGGCGGGCGGUGGCCCCCAGGGGGCUGGGAGGCCUAGCCCCCAUGCAGAAGUGCACCGUCAUGAUGAGGGUGUCCCCCGGGCCUGGGGAACAGGGCAGGACCCUGCUUCCCGGAGGGAAAUAAUGAAGACUCCGCCAGCCUGCCAGCCAGAAAGAGAUGCCCCACGGAAGGCUUUGUGGAGGGCAGCGGGGGGGUAGGGGAGGGAUGCCCAGGUGGGGACUCAGUCAGGCCCAAGCUGGGGGGCUGUGGGAUUUGAGGGCGGGAA